AUGGCCACAUCACAUUGAAACACUGGUUCCCGUAUGAUCACUGAAGUUAAGCAACAUUAAGCUUGGUCAGUAUCUAGAUGGGUGACUACUUGGGAAUACCAAAUGCUGUAAG